rnacentral:rRNA from 1 species
UAGGGAAUCUUCCACAAUGGACGCAAGUCUGAUGGAGCAACGCCGCGUGAGUGAAGAAGGUUUUCGGACCGUAAAGCUCUGUUGUUGGUGAAGAAGGAUAGAGGUAGUAACUGGCCUUUAUUUGACGGUAAUCAACCAGAAAGUCACGGCUAACUACGUGCCAGCAGCCGCGGUAAUACGUAGGUGGCAAGCGUUGUCCGGAUUUAUUGGGCGUAAAGCGAGCGCAGGCGGAAGAAUAAGUCUGAUGUGAAAGCCCUCGGCUUAACCGAGGAAUUGCAUCGGAAACUGUUUUUCUUGAGUGCAGAAGAGGAGAGUAGAACUCCAUGUGUAGCGGUGGAAUGCGUAGAUAUAUGGAAGAAUACCAGUGGCGAAGGCGGCUCUCUGGUCUGCAACUGACGCUGAGGCUCGAAAAGCAUGGGUAGCGAACAGGAUUAGAUACCCUGGUAGUCCAUGCCGUAAACGAUGAGUGCUAAGUGUUGGGAGGCUUCCGCCUCUCAGUGCUGCAGCUAAACGCAUUAAGCACUCCGCCCUGGGGGAGUACGA